CAAUAGCGUAUAUUUAAGUUGUUGCAGUUAAAAAGCUCGUAGUCGGAUUUUGGCUGAGAACGAUCGGUCCGCCGUUAGGUGUGCACUGAUUGGUCUCAGCUUCCUGGUGAGGAGGUGUGCUUCACGGCCACUUAGUCACCGUGGUUACUUUGAAAAAAUUAGAGUGUCCAAAGCGGGCUUACGCUUGAAUAUAUUAGCAUGGAAUAACACCAUAGGACUCCUGUCCUAUUUCGUUGGUCUCGGGACGGGAGUAAUGAUUAAGAGGAACAGUUGGGGGCAUUCGUAUUUCAUUGUCAGAGGUGAAAUUCUUGGAUUUAUGAAAGACGAACUUCUGCGAAAGCAUUUGCCAAGGAUGUUUUCAUUGA
rnacentral:rRNA from 1 species